UACAGAGGGUGCAAGCGUUGCUCGGAAUCAUUGGGCGUAAAGGGUAGGUAGGUGGUCUCAUUUGUCUGGGGUGAAAGCCCCAGGGCUUAACCCUCGGAAGUGCCCCGGAAACGGUGAGACUGGAGUACUGGAGAGGGUCGUGGAAUUCCCGGUGUAGCGGUGAAAUGCGUAGAGAUCGGGAGGAACACCAGAGGCGAAGGCGGCGACCUGGACAGUAACUGACACUCAACUACGGAAAGCGUGGGGAGCAAACAGGAUAGAUACC
rnacentral:rRNA from 1 species